UGGGCACUGGGAGAUACUGCAGAAUCCUCUAUCUCAACAUCAACAAGAAAGCACCUUGGCUGAUGGUGAGAGGCAAAUAGCAGGGACAUAGAAUUUUCUGUUUGUGACAUUCUUCACAGACCUGUCUGGAUAACUGAUGCCAUCUGUGGCAAUGCCUCUUCCAUCUGUCUGCCUGCCAAUGUCUGAAUCAAUUGGUUUGGCUGUGUCUGUCAUGGCUAUGGUGGCUACUGAUGCAACUCUGGAGGACAUUACUUAAAGGGUGCCACAAGAAGGGUGGCGGCAGAUGUUGGUGAUACAAGAUCUACUGAAGAACCUCUAAAUCACUCAGCCUAUUGGAUUCAUCUUCCUGUGAAGUGCUAGUUCCUUCCCCAUGUUCAUCAACUCAUCAACGGUAUCAAAAGAUAAACAGCCAAUCUAGAUUCACAGUUGACUUGCUUUAGAACCAACUAUAUAGACUAUGGAUUA